CAAUGAUUGACCUCGGAUCAGGUAGGGAUACCCGCUGAACUUAAGCAUAUCAAUAAGCGGAGGAAAAGAAACCAACAGGGAUUGCCUCAGUAACGGCGAGUGAAGCGGCAACAGCUCAAAUA
rnacentral:rRNA from 1 species